UACGGAGGGGGCGAGCGUUGUUCGGAAUCACUGGGUGUAAAGGGUGCGUAGGCGGUGCGUUAAGUCUGAUGUGAAAGCCCUGGGCUCAACUCAGGAAUUGCAUUGGAAACUGGCGUGCUGGAGUACGGGAGAGGGAAGCGGAAUUCCUGGUGUAGCGGUGAAAUGCGUAGAUACCAGGAGGAACACCGGUGGCGAAGGCGGCAUCCUGGACCGGCAUUGACGCUGAGGCGCGAAAGCCAGGGGAGCAAACGGG
rnacentral:rRNA from 1 species